CUCAAGUUCUGUUAAAUACAGUUUGUUGAUUGAUUUAGACAUUGUUGACAACACAUAGUGGUAUAGUGAAAGCUACCCCCACACAGACUCUCGACAAUUGUCUGUCAUAAAUGAACUAUUCUAAGGAUUAAUGCUUUUUUUUUUAAUAUGACUUUUUCAUCCUCCAUAUCAAAUGUUUGCAGUGGGAAGGUCAUCCCAUACACCGAAUUAGGCAAAUAUUACUUGCUUUUAUUAACCAACUAAGUACAUUAUUGCCAAAAAUGACUAUUUAUUAAAAAAUUACAUAUUUUCUGUAAUGGCCCUGUUUUUUCUGUAAUGGCCCUGUUUUUCUGUAAUGGCCCUGUUUUUUCUGUAAUGGCCUGUUUUUUCUGUAAUGGCCCUGUAUUAAUGCCCAGUUUGUCUGUAUUAAGCCCAGUUAGGUUUUUUUUAUAAAGUUAAUAAAAUUAAGUUGUAAAGAGUAUAAUACCUUUUUGUAUUUUAUUUUAUUUAGUAACCAGCAACUAACAUUAAAGAACCAUAUAAAGGGAUCACUGUUCAUCCUGUUUUUCAACACAUAACUUCUUUCAACUUUAUUUGGUAUAUUUAAAGCUUUAUCAUGAUGAAGUACAAAUUAUUUUUUUCAAACUAAACUGUCAUUAAAAGAGUAAGAGAGUACAUCAAGUUGGUAGCAACACAUAUACUUUUGUUCAGUUGGUUAAUAAAUGUAUUAAGAAAUGGGUGUUUUUAUAAUGGCCCUGUUAUAUGUCCUCGGUCAGUAAUAAUGGCCUCGGAUGUCUGUAAUGGCCCUCGGCGUUGCCUCGGGCCAUUACAGACUUCCUCGACCAUUAUUACAGACCUUGGACAUAUAACAGGGCCAUUAUAAAAACACCCAUUCAUUAA
rnacentral:lncRNA from 1 species